UCCUUCCCUCUGUAAUAUCCUAAGAAAGUCACUUCCCUAGUUCCUGUGUACCUGAGAGUAUGGGAUACUGGCAUGGGAGACAGCAUAAUGUUCAUGGUUAGUGCUACAGGAAGAGAUGGCGGAGUGAGGACACAGUCAGGUGGAGGAGACUCCCAAGUAGCUGGGAUUACAGGUGCUCGCCACCAUGCCUGGGUAAUUUUUUGUGUUUUUAGUAGAGACAGGGUUUUGCCAUGUUGGCCAGGCUAGUCUCCAACUCCUGACCUCAGGUGAUCCACCUGCCUUGGCCUCUCAAAAUUGAAUCAGGGCUCUAAAGGAACAGACUCCCCGCAGCUAGUG
rnacentral:lncRNA from 1 species